rnacentral:piRNA from 1 species
UGGAGGUUUGAGAUUGCCCAUCUUAGC